CCAGAGAUUGCUCCUCUUGGAGUUUUUUUCUGUGAGCCUAUAAUACAGGUAAUAGCAUAGUGCUGGAGGACAACCAUGGUGAGAUUUUCCAUCAAGUUAGUUUGAAGCAAAAUAUGAAGGUCUCAGACUUGCUGCAGUGAAGAGCUCUGGUCUCUGUCAUUAUGUCCACAAAUUUCCUUAGAAGAUGACAUCCAUCUUCCUUACCCUUAGGUAGAAUCAAGAUAGAGGUUUUCAAGUUUCCUGAUGGUAUAUCUGGCAUUUGGGAUAUGAUGUUAGCUGAAACCUCUUUAUUAUCUAGACCUAUAUUCUGAAAGACCUUUGGAUGUCGAGGUCAUUUGAAUACACAAGGAGAACUGUUUGUAAUGAUUGGUGCCAGCACUGAAGAUGUUGAUUAAGAGAUUGCUUUCUGCUCCUUCCUUUCUCUUUAAAAUUUCAUAUAUUAGUGCCUUGCUCCUUUGAGUUUAGUACAAACCCUGGAGUUCCUUGUCAUUCCAGUUUAAAUUUAGAUCAUCUCUGCUCAGUAACACAGAAAUAAGCUUCUAUUUUUGAAGCUGUAAUUAGUGAGUUCUAUGCAAUGGAGAUAAAUAAUUGAAACUGGCUGAAGUUGGGUUACCCUCCAUGUCUUUUCCAUAUGAAUUUUUCAUGUUGUCCUUUGUUGGUGGUUGCCUUGAUCUCUAGUUCCACAGAAUUGAUUAGAUGUUUUUAUAUCUGUUUUGAUUCUGAAUAUUUCUUCUGAAAUUUUGAUCUCUUUUAUGUUUUCAUGCAUAAGUUUAACUCUCUGGCUAAUAAGCAACACUAGGUACAAUGCAGAAAAGUGGAGUAAGCCUUCUAAAGAGUAGUUUGAU
rnacentral:lncRNA from 7 species